GAGAGUAACACCCCCAAAAAUGUUUGGAAAAAUUCAGAAGGUCUAAUUAAAAUCCAUCCUGUUGCAGAAGAGGUCAAAUAAAACCCUUUAGACAAAAGACUUGGUCUAAUCUUUAUACAUGAUAAUAGUCACCGUUAAGAUACACAUUUGUAUACUACGAGAACAACACAGAAGAUAGAGAUACUGAAACUUUUUACUGGUUUACCUAACCUGCAGGUUGGGGAAGAGCUGGUCAUGGGUUUGUCUUCAGGGAAGCCCGGCAUACAGAGUUUGAACCACCCUGUCACAGGGGGCUGGCCAAGCAUAGAAACACUUUCUAGUGUUUCUCUUUGAGACGAAUUCAAUAUGGCCGCCAAACAUGGUAGUGUUUUAUAUACACCGACAACUUUCUAAGGGGUACAUCCUAGGUUGUGUCCCAUUCUACCGUCGAGCAGAAGUAAAGUGAUGUUUGCCCAUCAAUGUGAGCACUGGUAAGAGUUUUGGAGGGUGGCUGUUGUUAGCUUGAUCUGGCUCUAGCUCCCUCUGCCUUGCUCAGUGAAGACAAACCCUCUGAACAAAAGCCUUUCCAUGCGCAACUCGUAAAGAUUCAUUAUUGCUUACAGGAACAAAGCAUUUUGUGUACAUGGACACACAGUGCAGAGUCAUGGAGAGCAAUGGAGUGGCAUAGGAAAAGGAAGGGGAGAGAGGGGAACAGACCUGAACAGCGUGGUCUGUUUCUGUCAGCUGGGGAAGGGUCAUACUGGCAUGGGGGUUAAAAGGGAAGGGUCAUACUGGCAUGGGGGUUAAAAGGGAAGGGUCAUACUGGCAUGAUGGGGUAAAAGGGAAGGGUCAUACUGGCAUGGGGGUUAAAAGGGAAGGGUCAUACUGGCAUGGGGGUUAAAAGGGAAGGGUCAUACUGGCAUGGGGGGUAAAAGGGAAGGGUCAUAUAGACAUGGGGGGGUAGAAGGGAAGGGUCAUACUGGCAUGGAGGUUAAAAGGGAAGGGUCAUACUGGCAUGGGGGUUAAAAGGGAAGGGUCAUACUGGCAUGAUGGGGUAAAAGGGAAGGGUCAUACUGGCAUGGGGGGUAGAAGGGA
rnacentral:lncRNA from 1 species